AUUGAACGCUGGCGGCAUGCCUUACACAUGCAAGUCGAACGGCAGCGGGCCUUCGGGUGCCGGCGAGUGGCGAACGGGUGAGUAAUGCAUCGGAACGUGCCAUUGAGUGGGGGAUAACGUAGCGAAAGUUGCGCUAAUACCGCAUAUUCUGUGAGCAGGAAAGCAGGGGACCGCAAGGCCUUGCGCUCUUUGAGCGGCCGAUGUCAGAUUAGCUAGUUGGUGAGGUAAAGGCUUACCAAGGCGACGAUCUGUAGCGGGUCUGAGAGGAUGAUCCGCCACACUGGGACUGAGACACGGUCCAGACUCCUACGGGAGGCAGCAGUGGGGAAUUUUGGACAAUGGGCGCAAGCCUGAUCCAGCCAUGCCGCGUGAGUGAAGAAGGCCU
rnacentral:rRNA from 1 species